rnacentral:rRNA from 1 species
GACGAACGCUGGCGGCGUGCUUAACACAUGCAAGUCGAACGAAGUGGCGAACGGGUGAGUAAUACGUGGGUAACCUACCCAUCAGAGGGGGAUAACACUUGGAAACAGGUGCUAAUACCGCAUAGUGAAAGAUGGCCUCGCGCCUGAUUAGCUAGUAGGUGAGGUAACGGCUCACCUAGGUGAUGAUCAGUAGCCGGACUGAAGGUUGAUCGGCCGCAUUGGGACUGAGACACGGCCCAGACUCCUACGGGAGGCAGCAGUGGGGAAUAUUGGGCAAUGGCGCAAGCCUGACCCAGCAACGCCGCGUGGGGGAUGAAGGCUUUCGGGUUGUAAACCUCUUUCCAUCGAACAGGGUAGGUGGAGAAGAAGCGCCGGCUAACUACGUGCCAGCAGCCGCGGUAAUUC